UACGAAGGGGGCUAGCGUUGCUCGGAAUCACUGGGCGUAAAGGGUGCGUAGGCGGGUUUUAAGUCAGGGGUGAAAUCCUGGAGCUCAACUCCAGAACUGCCUUUGAUACUGAAGAUCUUGAGUUCGGGAGAGGUGAGUGGAACUGCGAGUGUAGAGGUGAAAUUCGUAGAUAUUCGCAAGAACACCAGUGGCGAAGGCGGCUCACUGGCCCGAUACUGACGCUGAGGCACGAAAGCGUGGGAGCAAACAGG
rnacentral:rRNA from 1 species